GCCGAGAUAGCUCAGUCGGUAGAGCGGAAGACUGAAAAUCUUCGUGUCACCAGUUCAAGUCUGGUUCUUGGCA
rnacentral:tRNA from 2 species